rnacentral:rRNA from 1 species
AACGCUAGCUACAGGCUUAACACAUGCAAGUCGAGGGGCAGCAUGAACUUAGCUUGCUAAGUUUGAUGGCGACCGGCGCACGGGUGAGUAACGCGUAUCCAACCUUCCGUACACUCAGGAAUAGCCUUUCGAAAGAAAGAUUAAUACCUGAUGGUAUGAUGAGAUUGCAUGAAAUCAUCAUUAAAGAUUCAUCGGUGUACGAUGGGGAUGCGUUCCAUUAGAUAGUAGGCGGGGUAACGGCCCACCUAGUCGACGAUGGAUAGGGGUUCUGAGAGGAAGGUCCCCCACAUUGGAACUGAGACACGGUCCAAACUCCUACGGGAGGCAGCAGUGAGGAAUAUUGGUCAAUGGGCGCGAGCCUGAACCAGCCAAGUAGCGUGAAGGAUGAAGGUCCUACGGAUUGUAAACUUCUUUUAUAAGGGAAUAAAGUCACCCACGUGUGGGUGUUUGUAUGUACCUUAUGAAUAAGCAUCGGCUAACUCCGUGCCAGCAGCCGCGGUAAUACGGAGGAUGCGAGCGUUAUCCGGAUUUAUUGGGUUUAAAGGGAGCGUAGACGGGUCGUUAAGUCAGCUGUGAAAGUUUGAGGCUCAACCUUAAAAUUGCAGUUGAUACUGGCGUCCUUGAGUACGGUUGAGGCAGGCGGAAUUCGUGGUGUAGCGGUGAAAUGCUUAGAUAUCACGAAGAACUCCGAUUG